rnacentral:lncRNA from 1 species
UCUGAGGUGACAGAAAUCUACAAAUAUAGUAACAAUGCAAUCUGUUGCAGGAGAAAGCAAAGAAGAAAUUUUGGAACACCCUGCUCAGAGUCAGAUCCUUAGCCACCCAGAAGCAUGACCACAAGAGGGCCUGGAUCACGUUGGAAAGAGACAAGUUUGUCUGUGAUGCUCCUCCUCUCUCCAAUUCUGGGAUUUCUUCAGGUCAUCAACAAAACCUAUUAAACUGAUAGAAAACAGAUACUACAUUUGAUCUUAGCCAAAAGGACAAGAAGCAAGAAACCGGCAACUGGAGACAUAUGGAAUUUGUUGGAACAUUAAAAAGUGAUUCAGAAUGACUAAAUAUCCCAGACAAGCAGAGAAAUAC